rnacentral:tRNA from 1 species
CAGGCGGUGGCCUACUGGUUAGCGCUUCGGACUUGUAACCGGAGGGUUGCCGGUUCGAACCCCGACCAGUAGG